rnacentral:lncRNA from 1 species
CGUGUGUGCCCUAUAUUUUGAAAAUUUUCUAUGUUUUUCCAAAAUUUUUCUAAGUUUUCAGUUUAGUUCCGAAUCACUUCUAAUGCUUGUUUUUAGCCUCAAGGGCUUGUAUUAGGGACAAUACACUUGAUUGUGAAUGACUUUUAUUUGAAUAUGAAAAAUGUAUGAGAAAUGUAUGCUUGUUUAAGUACUAAGUCUGG